UUUUUUUAAGUUUUUCCUUCAAUUUUCUAUUUUCUUGAUUCCUUUAUCCUGGGUGUUGAAAGAAACUUCGUCAACCUCUUCCGCGUUCGUGCUCGUAGGAGGAGGAAUUCCGGUCGUACCUUGGGGCGGUGUUUCCGGUUAAUCCCGCACGUAAGGACGGAAAUACGCCUUAGGGCAGUGCUUCGCACGCUUCCGGAUCAAUAAAGUAUUUAUUUGGAUUUAGCGAUAAUCUGUAAGAUGAUUUAUUUAUUUUCAUCAUAAAAUUUAGUUAGAUUUAAAUCAUAAUCAGAUUUCUGUGCGGUAAUUGUUCCAACAAUCUAAGGCGUAUUUCUUGAUUUGAUUGUGAUUGAAAUCUAACGGGUGCUAAUCCGUAUUAUAUUAAUUUUAAUUUUAUAUGUAUAUAAUUUGUUUGUUAAUGUUUGUAUGAUUGGCAAUCAAACAUAAAUUUUUCGGAGAUUAGCACUUUAACAUGUAAUUGUAUAUUAUUUAAUUUACUGUUGAAAUUAUAAUUUAUUUGGUGAUUAUUAAAAAAAAAAUUUGCUAAAGUAAAAAUAAUUUUAUUAGCGUGCGAUUUUAGAGUUUUG
rnacentral:lncRNA from 1 species